GCAAACUUGGUCAUUUAGAGGAAGUAAAAGUCGUAACAAGGUCUCCGUUGGUGAACCAGCGGAGGGAUCAUUAACGAGUUAUCAAAAACUCCAAAACCCUUUGUGAACCUUACCGUCGUUGCCUCGGUGGGCUGCGCCUACCCUGCAGCUACCCUACAGACAGCUACCCUGUAGCUGGGGGUAGCCUGCCCGGUAGCGCGCGCUGAGAGCCCGCCGGCGGACCACCAAACUCUGUUUUGCUGCAGUACGUAUCUGAAUUCUUCAACUGAAAUAAGUUAAAACUUUCAACAACGGAUCUCUUGGUUCUGGCAUCGAUGAAGAACGCAGC
rnacentral:misc_RNA from 1 species